CAGGCUUAGUGGUGCACUUGGGAGGCUGAGGCAGGAGGAUUGCUGCAAGUUGUAGGUCAGCCUGGGCUACAUAGUUCAAAGCCAGCCUGAAUUACAUGGCCGGACUUUGUUUCAAACAAACAAACAAAGAAAACCAGCAGUAGUUCAGGCUGGUUUUAAAUUCAGAGGCAUGGGUCCAGAUGUUGACUUAGGGAACCCUGAUCUGUGGAUGGACAGGUUCUGUUUUUACCCCUUCAUACAGAAGUUUAUUGGCCUCUCGGUUCUGGGGCUCUAACUCAGGGCCUCACACAUGCAGGUGAGUGUCCCAGUACUGAGCUAUCUUUUCAGCUCAACAGGGCCUUUGGUUUGGUUUGGUUUGGUUUGGUCUGGCUUGAUUGAGACAAGUUCUUACUAGGUAGUUCAGGCUGGCCUUGAACUCUAGGUAGCCCAAAUUGGCCUUGAAUUUGCUGUAAUCCCCUUGCCUCAGCCCCGCAGAGUGCUGGGAUUAUAAGCAUGAGUAACUACGUGCAGCUGCAUUUACUAUUUUCCUGAUGAUCACAAGUCGCUGGAAUGAUGGGAUGAGAAGCCUUGGAUGGAUAAGGGGGAAGGUGACCACUAUAGAGAUGGGAACACUGAGCCCUGGAAAAGAUAAGGCACAUGUCCAAGAGGGACACAGCUGGAGGCUCCCACAAUGGAGUCUGCAGGGAGAAACGGACCAGCGACAGAUUUACAGUUUACAAAGGUGCUUUUCUACCCACCGGGCCAGCCAGCUCAAGUUUCUCACGUAAUUCCCGCCAUCCUCACUGUCACUCAUCCUCGAAGCCACCUGCUUCUUCACAAGAUAAUAAAUUCUGGGAGAGGCCUUGGAUCAGAGGCCUCUGUCCACACAUCCUCAUGGGGACCGGGCUGAGGACUCCGUGGCUCCCUGAGCUUUGAAUAUGUCUCAGUGUCUUCACUCUGGCCGUGGUUGCUUUGGGGGUGGUAGGUUGAAAUGAACUUGCUGGGAUUCCAAUAACGUCUCACUGGGAUUACAAAUAUAGCUUUUUGGAUUGGAAAGGGAUUACAAUACUUGGAUUACAAUACACAAUACUGGAGAUCACA